UGGGGAAUUUUGGACAAUGGGCGAAAGCCUGAUCCAGCAAUGCCGCGUGGGUGAAGAAGGCCUUCGGGUUGUAAAGCACUUUUGUCCGGAAAGAAAUGGCUCUGGUUAAUACCUGGGGUCGAUGACGGUACCGGAAGAAUAAGGACCGGCUAACUACGUGCCAGCAGCCGCGGUAAUACGUAGGGUCCAAGCGUUAAUCGGAAUUACUGGGCGUAAAGCGUGCGCAGGCGGUUGUGCAAGACCGAUGUGAAAUCCCCGAGCUUAACUUGGGAAUUGCAUUGGUGACUGCACGGCUAGAGUGUGGCAGAGGGGGGUAGAAUUCCACGUGUAGCAGUGAAAUGCGUAGAGAUGUGGAGGAAUACCGAUGGCGAAGGCAGCCCCCUGGGAUAACACUGACGCUCAUGCACGAAAGCGUGGGGAGCAAACAGG
rnacentral:rRNA from 1 species